CCAGACGCCCCCCGCCGACGAUGGCGACGGCGACGGCGACGGCGCGGCGCCCAAACGCGCGGCGGCGGCGUCGCGGAAGAGCCACGCGUGCGACACGUGCGGGAAGGCGUUCCGCGACGUCUACCACCUGAAGCGGCACCGGCUGUCGCACACGGACGAGCGGCCCUUCCAGUGCCCGGUGUGCCAGCAGCGCUUCAAGCGCAAGGACCGCAUGGCGUCGCACGUGCGCUCCCACCAGGGCCACGUGCACAAGCCCUACGCCUGCGGGCACUGCGGGAAGAGCUUCUCCAGGUGGGGCGGGGCGGCGCGGUUGGGGGCGUCCUUGGGGCAUGGUGGGCCAUGGUCAUGGUGGUCAUUGGGUCAUCAUUGCAUCAUGGCGGUCGUUGGGUCAUGGUGGGUCUUGGUCAUGGUGGUUAUUGGGUAAUCAUUGGGUCAUGGUGGUCGUUGGGUCAUGGUGGUUAUUGGGUCAUCAUUGCAUCAUGGCGGUCGUUGGGUCAUGGUGGUUAUUGGGUCAUCAUUGGGUCGUGGCGGUCAUUGGGUCAUGGUGGGGCUUGGUCAUGGUGGUCAUUGGGUCAUCAUUGCGUCAUGGUGGUCAUUGGGUCAUCAUUGCGUCAUGGUGGUCAUUGGGUCAUGGUGGGUCUUCAUGGUGGGGUUUGGGGUCAUCGUUGGGUCAUGGUGGUUAUUGGGUCAUCAUUGGGUCAUGGUGGCCAUGGGGUCAGGGUUGUUGGGUACUGGUGGGUCUUGGUCAUGGGGUUUGGGGUCAUCGUUGGGUCAUCGUUGGGUCAUGGUGGGUCUUCAUGGUGGGGUUUGGGGUCAUUGUUGGGGCAUGGUGGUCAUUGGGUCAUGGUGGUCGUUGGGUCAUGGUGGGUCUUGGUCGUGGUGGGGUUUGGGGUCAUCAUUGGGUCAUGGUGGUCAUGGUGGUCAUUGGGUCAUCAUUGCAUCAUGGCGGUCGUUGGGUCAUGGUGGGUCUUGGUCAUGGUGGUUAUUGGGUAAUUAUUGGGUCAUGGUGGUCAUGGGGUCAUGGUGGUUGUUGGGUCAUGGUGGUUAUUGGGUCAUCAUUGGGUCAUGGUGGUUAUUGGGUCAUCAUUGGGUCAUGGUGGUCAUUGGGUCAUGGUGGUUAUUGGGUAAUCAUUGGGUCAUGGUGGGUUAUUGGGUCAUGGUGGUCAUUGGGUCAUCAUUGGGUCAUGGUGGUCAUNNNNNNNNNNAUGGUGGUCAUUGGGUCAUCAUUGGGUCAUGGUGGUCAUUGGGUCAUGGUGGUUAUUGGGUAAUCAUUGGGUCAUGGUGGUUGUUGGGUCAUCAUUGGGUCAUGGUGGUCGUUGGGUCAUGGUGGUCGUUGGUCAUGCUGGGGUUCGGGGUCAUCGUUGGGCCGGGGUGGUCGUUGGGUCAUCAUUGGGUCAUGGUGGUCGUUGGGUCAUCAUUGGGUCAUGGUGGUCGUUGGGUCAGGUGGUCGUUGGGUCAUCAUUGGGUCAUGGUGGUCGUUUGGUCAUGGUGGUUCUCCGUCAUGGUUCGCUUUGGGGUCAUCGUUGGGUCAUCAUUGGGUCAUGGUGGGUCUUGGUCGUGGUGGGGUUUGGGGUCAUCGUUGAGGCAUGGUCAUUGUUGGGUCAUUGUUGGUUAUGGUGGUCAUUGAGUCAUCAUUGGGUCAUGGUGGUCAUUGAGUCAUCAUUGGGUCAUGGUGGUCAUUGAGGUCCUUGGGGUCAUGGUGGGUCUGGUGGGACUUGGGG
rnacentral:lncRNA from 1 species